rnacentral:rRNA from 1 species
GACGAACGCUGGCGGCGUGCUUAACACAUGCAAGUCGAACGGAAAGGCCCUGCUUUUGUGGGGUGCUCGAGUGGCGAACGGGUGAGUAACACGUGAGUAACCUGCCCUUGACUUUGGGAUAACUUCAGGAAACUGGGGCUAAUACCGGAUAGGAGCUCCUGCUGCAUGGUGGGGGUUGGAAAGUUUCGGCGGUUGGGGAUGGACUCGCGGCUUAUCAGCUUGUUAGUGGGGUAAUGGCUUACCAAGGCUUUGACGGGUAGCCGGCCUGAGAGGGUGACCGGCCACAUUGGGACUGAGAUACGGCCCAGACUCCUACGGGAGGCAGCAGUGGGGAAUAUUGCACAAUGGGCGGAAGCCUGAUGCAGCAACGCCGCGUGCGGGAUGACGGCCUUCGGGUUGUAAACCGCUUUCGCCUGUGACGAAGCGUGAGUGACGGUAAUGGGUAAAGAAGCACCGGCUAACUACGUG